AUGAUGUAUCCUGCUGAGGUUCCCCAAGGCCAAGGGGCCUGUCCCAUUCCCAGCUCGCCGCGUGUGGACGGAAGGAGGCUGCGGCGUUUCGUGGUCAAAGGUGCCGGCUCCGUGUCCAAGGUGCUCGGUGACGACAACCUCCUAAUCGAGAUCCUCGUCCGUCUCCCUCCGAAGCCGUCCUCCCUGCCCCGCGCGUCUGCCGUAUGCAAGCGCUGGGGCAGCAUCCUCUCUGACCCCGUGUUCCACAAACGCUUCCGCAAGCACCACCGGAAGCCUCCUCUGCUCGGCUUCUUCCAAGGGUACGCUAACCGCUUUGCUCCCAUCAUGGACUCGCCCGACCGCAUCCCUGCCGCUCGCUUCUCCCUGCCCAAGAGCAGCACGCCCUACAAAGAGCACGCAGAAUACAUGGGCUGCCGCCAUGGCCUCGCUGUCGUAAUCAACAAGCAUGAGCGGAAUACCGUCGUGUGGGACCCCCUCACCGGCCAACAGCGCAGCGUGGCUUUUCCACUGUGGGUGGAUGAUGCCUUUAUGGGGUGUUUUUGUACCUGGCACGGCACGGUGUUAUGCGCUGAUGCCGAAGAUGGGCAUGUUCACGGAGAUUGCUUCUCGAGCCCGUUUAAAUUGGUUCUGGUCUAUGGGGGUGGAUACAAUACGAAGGCAUUUUGUUCUGUCUAUGACUCGGUGUCUGGUGUUUGGGGAGAUGUUUCCUCGACCGCGAUAAGAAAUGAAAUUUCUGCGUCAAGGCCCAGCAUCCUAGUUGGGAAUGCACUUUGCUGGUUGAUUUCUGGAGGUGAUAUCCUUGUGUUUGAUAUCGAAAUUCAGAGCUUUGAUGUGAUCGAGAAGCCGGCAGAGUACCAUGUUGACGACAGGUGUUUUCAGCUCUUACGGAUGGAGGACGGUGGACUUGGCCUCGCUGUUUUGUCAGGACUGGUUGUCCAAUUAUGGGAGAGAAAAUUUAACUGUGAUGGUGUUGUUGGAUGGGUGUUGCUGCAGAAAACUAUUCCACUGGAGGGGAUGCUUCCAAGGGGAAUGAAUUAUGUACUUUUCGUGGGGUAUGAUGAGGACACAAAUGUGAUUGUUCUCACUACGAUGAUUGGCAACUUCAUGGUCCAACUUGACUCCAUGCAAAUCAAACGUAUUGGUAAAAGAAAAAACAUGUGGCACAACACCUUUUAUCCCUACACGAAUUUCUAUACUGCAGGCAGGGGAGUUGGGCGGAAAGGGGCGGCUAAUGUGUUAUCUUGGUCAAACAACUUAGGUAAUUUUCCCUUUUCAUAUAUCUUUUUUUUCGUGGUUACCCAAUUUAUAAGAUGGUGCAUAGUCUAUGCUUACAUUUUCAAGAUGCACACACUUGGGUAG
rnacentral:rRNA from 1 species